UUUGUAUUAAAAAUUUAAUCACAUCAUACACAUAAAAAUAUUUAAUCUACAUAUAUAUUUUUGGGGACAAUUUGUGUCGAAAAAUUCUUUUUCAAUUUCGAUAUUAUAUGUUUAGUCCCUACAAAAUCAAUCAGACAAGAUAUUUUCUUUACGACAAUGACCAAAUUUUUGCUCAACUAUUCACAUUUUGCACUAAUUACUUGCCUAAACAUAUAAAU
rnacentral:sRNA from 1 species